rnacentral:rRNA from 1 species
CGUGGGUAACCUGCCCAAGAGAUCGGGAUAACACCUGGAAACAGAUGCUAAUACCGGAUAACAACAGAUGAUGCCUAUCAACUGUUUAAAAGAUGGUUCUGCUAUCACUCUUGGAUGGACCUGCGGUGCAUUAGCUAGUUGGUAGGGUAACGGCCUACCAAGGCGAUGAUGCAUAGCCGAGUUGAGAGACUGAUCGGCCACAUUGGGACUGAGACACGGCCCAAACUCCUACGGGAGGCAGCAG